UACGUAGGGGGCAAGCGUUAUCCGGAUUUACUGGGUGUAAAGGGAGCGUAAACGGCGUGACAAGUCUGAAGUGAAAGCCCGCGGCUCAACCGCGGAACUGCUUUGGAAACUGUCAAGCUUGAGUGCAGGAGAGGUAAGUGGAAUUCCUAGUGUAGCGGUGAAAUGCGUAGAUAUUAGGAGGAACACCAGUGGCGAAGGCGGCUUACUGGACUGUAACUGACGUUGAGGCUCGAAAGCGUGGGGAG
rnacentral:rRNA from 1 species